rnacentral:lncRNA from 1 species
CCCACCCGCUCCCAAGAUUCAACUACGAGCUUUUUAACUGCAACAACUUUAAUAUACGCUAUUGGAGCUGGAAUUACCACGGCUGCUGGCACCAGACUUGCCCUCCAAUUGAUCCUCAUUAAAAGAUUUAAAGUGCACUCAUUCCAAUUACAGGGCCUAGAAAGAGUCCUGUAUUGUUAUUUUUCGUCACUACCUCCCCGUAAUUGAACCCUGAUUCCCUGUCACCCGUGGUCACCAUGAUAGGCACAGCGACUACCAUAGAAAGUUGAUAGGGCAGACAUUCGAAUGGGUCAUCGCUGCCACGGGGGGCGUGCGAUUGGCCCGAGGUUAUCCAGAAGCACCAAAGC